AAGACUUUAAAUAGUCACCAAGUUACUUAACCGAGGAAUAAGUCAGAAUGAUUCGCGCAGUACGGACGAAAGUUGGAUGCAUCUGACUGCGUGUGGAAAAUGAUUCUGCAGAGCGUCCCGAAAAUGAGAUAAAUUAUAAGGAUGUACUUGAGGGACCCAAGAGGUUUGGAACGGAAAAUUCAAGGCUCCCAAAUGUUUCAAAUGUGAAACCUAGUGGGUGAUGAUAGUUGCAGAACUGUAAGCAUUGAAUAAGGUGCAACUGUUUUACAGUGAUUUGUUUCAUCUCACAGUAGAAUGGUGUUCCUUCCAUUAUUCAAAUCAACGUUUUCAGUGUUCGAGAAGCAAGCCCAUCUCUGCUGAAUUUUCCAACCAAGUUAAGCUAAAAGCUUCCAUCUGGAAGUGUGGCCUCUUUGUCAACGACAGUAAAAGUGUUCAGUUGAAAACCUUCGUAAGUGCUGAAAAAUGGGAAAAAGGGGCUACAUGAUAUGGGUCAAGACUACAAAAGGUGAAUAAGGCAGUCAAAUCAUAUCUGAAGUCUCAAUUAUGUUUGCUAGUCUUGAAUGUAUUGAAGGAUAAUUUUUUAUCGAACGACUACAGAAGGUCGACCGAUGUAUUAUUUUCUCAUGGCUUCAUAAGGAAGGCUGGAACUUGAUAAAUAUCUGCUAAAAGUAAUCGUAGAAAUGGACCACUAGUGAAGUCUGUCCACGAUGCAGUUAGCCAUUGUUUUUACUCUUCAAGCUAAAUCUGCAAUUCUUCACAGAGCAUGCUUUUUUUAUAUUUAGGAAGCUGGCUAUAUAUCAUUGGUGCUACAGAGUUUGGUAGUCGAGGAGAGCUCUUGUAGUGGCAACUAUGUUAUGGCUAUUUUAGCCUUGUAUAACUUAGAAACACAUUAAUUGUGUUGAUAACAUUAAAGGACUACAGCAAACAGAAA